rnacentral:rRNA from 1 species
UACAGAGGGUGCGAGCGUUUGUCCGGAAUCACUGGGCGUAAAGGGCGCGUAGGUGGUGGCUUAAGCGUGCGGUGAAAGCUCGGGGCUCAACUCCGAGUCGGCCGUGCGAACUGGGCUCACUGGAGCAUAGUAGAGGCAGGUGGAAUUCCGGGUGUAGCGGUGGAAUGCGUAGAGAUCCGGAAGAACACCGGUGGCGAAGGCGGCCUGCUGGGCGUAUGGCUGACACUGAGGCGCGACAGCGUGGGGGAGCAAACAGG